rnacentral:snRNA from 1 species
GAGUCGGGGGAAACCCGU